CCUACGGGAGGCAGCAGUGGGGAAUAUUGGACAAUGGGGGAAACCCUGAUCCAGCCAUGCCGCGUGUGUGAAGAAGGCCCUCGGGUUGUAAAGCACUUUCAGUGAGGAAGAACGCCUGGUGGUUAAUACCCAUCAGGAAAGACAUCACUCACAGAAGAAGCACCGGCUAACUCCGUGCCAGCAGCCGCGGUAAUACGGAGGGUGCGAGCGUUAAUCGGAAUUACUGGGCGUAAAGCGCGCGUAGGUGGCUUGAUAAGCCGGUUGUGAAAGCCCCGGGCUCAACCUGGGAACGGCAUCCGGAACUGUCAAGCUAGAGUGCAGGAGAGGAAGGUAGAAUUCCCGGUGUAGCGGUGAAAUGCGUAGAGAUCGGGAGGAAUACCAGUGGCGAAGGCGGCCUUCUGGACUGACACUGACACUGAGGUGCGAAAGCGUGGGUAGCAAACAGGAUUAGAUAUCCCGGUAGUC
rnacentral:rRNA from 1 species